UGCAUUUCUUGGCAUCUGCUCAAGCUGCUGUAGAAUCAGUAACUGUUCUGUAAGUUAGUCUCAUUACAGACCUGCUGCAGUAAUUGGUUUGCACAGUGGCCAUGUGGUAACUCAUAAAACUUUGCACAAGGGUCUCAGUUCUACAAGUAUUUCUUCCUGCACUUAUAGGGAACAAAGCCCCCUCUGGAAGCCAAGUUGCUCAGCCUGCAAGCGAGCACUGGGAGCAUUGCACCGCAGCCUGAAUGCCACCAGAAAUGUUUUCUGACAUUCAAAUAGUUAUAAAACAGCACUAUGUGAUCACAGAGUCAUUAAGGGUGGAAAAGAUCUUCCAGUUCAACUGUCAACUCAUUGCCACCGUACCACUAACACAUCCCUCAGUGCCACAACCCCUGCGAAUAAGUGGGUGUUCCUGUCAUGCUCCUUCAGCAGUUGGGGAAGCAGAGCUAUGACUCAGAGCUGCUCAAGGUCACCCAGUAGCAUAAAUAAAUAGCACCCAGGUGCCCUGCGCUUGCCUAACACCAAGCUUCCUCACACUGCUCUGAUGAUAUUUGGGGAGUUCAUCUUCAAAGGGGUUUGGAACGUGUGCCCUUGCAACGAGGAGGCUGUAGGACACCAGAGCAGCCUGUGCUCAUCGCUGCUUGCUGGGAGGAGAAAACUCCUACCAAAGAAGCCACAAGCCCAGCUGUCAGAUGAAGGAUUGCACUUCACUAUCACAUAUAACCUGAAAGCAAAACCACUCUAACACACUGGUGACGAGGAGUGAGUGGUGUGCUGCCACCCAGUAGGACACAUCUCUAUCACUUCAUCUGCCCAGGUUAUUGAGUCAUCAGAGCACAGCCUGUUCCUCACCUGCCACAGCUCUAGUAGAUAACCUCUGGCAAGGAUCUCAUACUUAAUGCUGUUCUUUAAGCAGGGCAGACAUCACUGAAUACCCAUCUGUAUUAAAGCAAGAAAUCCUUGUUUCAUAUUUGAAGCCAGUUUUAGCCCAAAUAGGCUCAUUUGCCCCACAUGGGAGGAAAGACCCUGUGCCAUAGCACCUUUCCUAAUGACCAGAGCAGGCUGUGAAAGAUCAAUCCUCCCAGCUCCUUUCAUAAUGACUUACCACAGCUGCCCGGCUUCACCCCCCUGUCCAACGCCUGCUGCUCCCCUAGUGCUCUUUGCAGCAAGCUUCUGCAGGGCUGGGCUGAGGGGGCCCUCUUUUUGCCUUUUAAUAUUUGAACUCAAUGGUGCUAAGAACCGUACACCCUCUGA